GGAUUGUGGCUCAGAGGUAGAGAGCUCACCUAGCAUGUGUGAGGCACUGGGUUCGAUUCCCAGCACCA
rnacentral:tRNA from 1 species